GCCCGGUCUGGGCCAGCAGGUAGCCCACUGACCCUUCCAGAGGAAACUGGAG
rnacentral:hammerhead_ribozyme from 11 species